AUUGGACGCUGGCGGCGUGCCUAACACAUGCAAGUCGAGCGGUAACAGGUGUAGCAAUACAUGCUGACGAGCGGCGAACGGGUGAGUAAUGCUUCGGAAUCUACCCAAUGGUGGGAAUAACCAGCCGAAAGGUUGGCUAAUACCGCAUACGUCCCACGGGAGAAAGCAGGGGAUCGCAAGACCUUGCGCCAAUGGAUGAGCCGAAGUCGGAUUAGCUAGUUGGAGGGUAACGGCCUACCAAGGCGACGAUCCGUAGCUGGUCUGAGAGGACGACCAGCCACACUGGGACUGAGACACGGCCCAGACUCCUACGGGAGGCAGCAGUGGGGAAUAUUGGACAAUGGGGGAAACCCUGAUCCAGCGACGCCGCGUGUGU
rnacentral:rRNA from 1 species